AUACGGAGGGUGCAAGCGUUAUCCGGAUUUAUUGGGUUUAAAGGGUGCGUAGGCGGUUUGAUAAGUCAGCGGUGAAAUAUUUCAGCUUAACUGGAAGGGUGCCGUUGAUACUGUCGAGCUUGAAUUUAGUUGCUGUGGGUGGAAUGUGUGGUGUAGCGGUGAAAUGCAUAGAUAUCACACAGAAUAUCGAUUGCGAAGGCAGCUCACAAAGCUAAUAUUGACGCUGAUGCAUGAAAGUGUGGGGAUCAAACAGGAUUAGAUACCCUGGUAGUCCACACUGUAAACGAUGAUAACUCGCUGUCGGCGAUACAUAGUCGGUGGCCAAGCGAAAGCGAUAAGUUAUCCACCUGGGGAGUACGACCGCAAGGUUGAAACUCAAAGGAAUUGACGGGG
rnacentral:rRNA from 1 species